rnacentral:rRNA from 1 species
GACAGAGGCCCCAAGCGUUAGGCGGAAUCACUGGGCUUAAAGCGUGUGUAGGCGGAUCGUUAAGUGUCUUGUGAAAGUCCCACGGCUCACCCGUGGAACUGCUGGGCAUACUGGCGAUCUUGGGCCAACUAGGGGCAGCCGGAACAAGCGGUGGAGCGGUGAAAUGCGUAGAUAUCGCUUGGAACGCCGAAGGUGAAAACAGGCUGCUGGGGUUGUGCCGACGCUGAGACACGAAAGCCAGGGGAGCAAACGGG